rnacentral:rRNA from 1 species
CACGUUUGACAUGCCCUGUUUGAUCGAUGGAGACAUCUUUCUUGGUUCGUCCGCAGGUGCACAGGUGCUGCAUGGCUGUCGUCAGCUCGUGUCGUGAGAUGUUGGGUUAAGUCCCGCAACGAGCGCAACCCUCACCCUUAGUUGCCAUCAGGUUCGGCUGGGCACUCUAAGGGAACUGCCGGUGGCAAACCGGAGGAAGGUGGGGAUGACGUCAAGUCCUCAUGGCCCUUACACGUGGGGCUACACACGUGCUACAAUGGCAGUGACAAUGGGCUAAUCCCAAAAAGCUGUCUCAGUUCGGAUUGUUGUCUGCAACUCGACAACAUGAAGUUGGAAUCGCUAGUAAUCGUGGAUCAGCAUGCCACGGUGAAUACGUUACCGGGCCU